rnacentral:rRNA from 1 species
UACGUAGGGUGCGAGCGUUAAUCGGAAUUACUGGGCGUAAAGCGUGCGCAGGCGGUUUGGCAAGUCAGAUGUGAAAUCCCCGAGCUCAACUUGGGAACUGCGUUUGAAACUGCCAGACUAGAAUAUGUCAGAGGGGGGUAGAAUUCCACGUGUAGCAGUGAAAUGCGUAGAGAUGUGGAGGAAUACCAAUGGCGAAGGCAGCCCCCCUGGGAUAAUAUUGACGCUCAUGCACGAAAGCGUGGGGGAGCAAACAAGG